rnacentral:rRNA from 1 species
GAUGAACGCUAGCGGGAGGCCUAACACAUGCAAGCCGAGCGGUAUUGUUUCUUCGGAAAUGAGAGAGCGGCGUAUGGGUGCGUAACACGUGUGCAACCUGCCUUUAUCUGGGGGAUAGCCUUUCGAAAGGAAGAUUAAUACUCCAUAAUAUAUUGAACGGCAUCGUUUAAUAUUGAAAGCUCCGGCGGAUAGAGAUGGGCACGCGCAAGAUUAGCUAGUUGGUGAGGUAACGGCUCACCAAGGCGAUGAUCUUUAGGGGGCCUGAGAGGGUGAUCCCCCACACUGGUACUGAGACACGGACCAGACUCCUACGGGAGGCAGCAGUGAGGAAUAUUGGUCAAUGGGUGCAAGCCUGAACCAGCCAUCCCGCGUGAAGGACGACUGCCCUAUGGGUUGUAAACUUCUUUCGUAUAGGGAUAAACCUACCCUCGAGAGGGUAGCUGAAGGUACUAUACGAAUAAGCACCGGCUAACUCCGUGCCAGCAGCCGCGGUAA